rnacentral:rRNA from 1 species
GUCGUGGCUUGGGUUUUGCCAGCUGGCGUGAUCUCCUCUAUGAGUAAUCAUGUGAGGUGCCAGAUCUAUGGCGUUUCCCUAAUGUAUCCGGAUGCACCCUUGUCUUGGCAGAAAGCCGUGGUGAGGUGCAGUGGCGGAAUCGUGGUUUAAUAAUCGGGUUGGUACUCAGUUGUCAGUGUGUUUGGCGAUCCCCUAGUCGGCACACUUAUGAUUUCUGGGAUAAUUCCAUACCAGGCACGUUCCGUCACUGUCACUUUGUCAUUGGUUUGAUGCUGAACUUGGUCAUGUGUCUGAUGCUAUUUUCAUAUAGCGACGGUACCCUUCGUGGUCUGUCUUCCUGACCUCGGUUCAGACGUGAUUACCCGCUGAACUUAAGCAUAUCAU